GAUGAACGCUGGCGGCGUGCCUAAUACAUGCAAGUCGAGCGAACGGACGAGCAGCUUGCUUCUCUGAUGUUAGAGGAGGAGGGGUGAGUAACACGUGGAUAACCUACCUAUAAGACUGGGAUAACUUCGGGAAACCGGAGCUAAUACCGGAUAAUAUUUUGAACCGCAUGGUUCAAAAGUGAAAGACGGUCUUGGUGUCACUUAUAGAUGGAUCCGCGUUGCAUUAGCUAGUUGUUAAGGUAAGGGCUUACAAAGGCAACGAUGCAUAGCGGCCUUGGGAGGUGGUCGGCCAACACUGGAAUGGAGACACGGCCAAGAUCCUAACGGGAGCCACAGUAGGGGAACUUCCGGAAUGGGGGGAAAGCCUGACGGAGCAACGCCGCGGGAGGGAUGAAGUUUUCGGGACGUAAAACUCUGUUGAUAAGGGAAGAACAUAAGUGUAAGUAAAUGUGCACACCUUGACGGUAUCUAACCAGAAAGCCACGGCUAACUACGUG
rnacentral:rRNA from 1 species